UGGGAUGUAGCUCAUGGUAGAGCACUUGCCUAGCAUGCAAGAAACUCUGGGUUUGAUGACCAGCAUCACUA
rnacentral:tRNA from 1 species